AAGCUCUCUCUCUCUCUUGUAGGGUAGAGUAAAUCGCUCUCCAAAGUUGAUUUAAUAACCCACUUAAGGUGGACUUAAAUAAACUUUGAGAAAAAUUUAUUUCCCUUUCCUAGAAGGAUCUAAUUUCCUAUUAAAGAAGGAAUUUACAUCAAAAAACGAAGCAAUCCUUUGUUUCAUAAAGCAAGAAGAUCUCUACACCUGUUGCCCUUUCCUGCGAGCAGCCCAACAAGUGUGGGGGCAUUUGUGGAGCAAAAAAUAAUCAUAAGGCGACACGUGAAUUUUUGGGUAAAAGAGGACAAAAAUACCCUUGAGACACACCUGAAUUCCUACGCGCGAGCAGCGGAAAAUCAUCCGUCAAUCAAGUUAAAAGUGUCCAAAAUAGGUAACAAAUUCAAAGAUAUUCUCAUCCAUCCUCAUCUUAGGUAAUUAUUUUAUAACCUACAUAACAUUCCAUUUAAGUGGAGGUUAAUUGGCUAAUUAAUGGAUUAAUUCCUAAUUAAUCCAUUAAUCACCAAUUAAAUCAUCCAUUACACCCCAAAAAAUAACCUAGUGCCGGCCACUCUUUCUUCCAAAGAGGGCCGGUCAUGCUCUAUAAAUAGGACUCCAUUUUCUAAAAAAAGUGGGUUCCAACACUCUUGCAAGACUCCCAAAAAGCUCUUUAAACACUUUUCUCUCUAAAUUCUAACUUUGGCAUCGGAGCUUCUUUGGCCAAAUCCUCCCCCCCCCCAGUAAUUCAUCGUGGGCGCGUGAGGCUUUUGGCCUUAACCAAAUGU
rnacentral:lncRNA from 1 species